rnacentral:misc_RNA from 1 species
CAACAAUUUUCUAGAAUUGAGGGUGUGAUUAUGAUCAUCAGAAGAAGAAAAUUGAAGGGGGUUUAUAAACGGAGAAUAAACAACAGUCGCGUUAGGGUUUAUUAGGUCGCCGGAGGAAUACAGAGCAGAGAUAGCGUGCCGACGGAAGACAUGGCGAUUCCGAGAAAGGCGGCGAUACAGUGCCAUUUUUAUCAAUGAAAAUUGAGACGGACUAAGG